GCCCUGCCAUUGUUCAGGGUCCGAAUCCCAGAGGAAGUCUCUCCUGCUGGAGCCCAGGGGGAGGAAGACAUGGAGCAGCAGUCCUCCACUGACCAACGAGAGCAAGGUCCGGGUUCCCGGGUGGAGCCCAGCAGUCUGGGCCGUACACAAUCGUAAGCUGAGGCUCCCCCAGUGACCUCUGGUGCCCAAGGUGCCAGGAGUCACCUCAGGCUGCUCGGUGACAAUUUAAAUCUUCAAACACUAAGCAGAGAAAGAAAUCCCUGGACCAGGGCAGGAAGAGAGUCCAGAAACGUUGCCGUGUGAGGUUGAAAGGCUGGUGGGAACUCGCAGGUGAGUGGGCAGGUUCUGAGGAGUUCCCCUGUCCUGUGGCUUGUGAGUGUCACAUGGAGGACGAGCCUCUGGGAUCCUCAGCCACUGAUCUCUCUUGGUGUUAACCGCAGGGUUCUCAGCAUGCAUGGCUACUGAAGGACUGGACAUCAUGGUCCUUGGACCCAGUCCCCUUUGUCCCCUGUCAGUGGGUGGUCCCAUGAUGCACUUUGCUUUUCAAACCCAAACCUAAGACUGGCUCUGCUCUUCUCUCCUGCACGCUCAGGUUAGUUCCCUACUGCUGCUGCAACAGAUUACCCAAAUUGAGUGGAUUAAAACAGCGCACAUAGUUGGGCGUGACAGUGACGCCUGUAAUCCCAGUGGCUCAGGAGGCUGAGGCAGGAGGAUGUUGAGUUCUAAGCCAGUCUCAGCAACUUAGCGAGGCCCUCAAGCAACUUAUGGAGAUCCUGUCUCUAAAUGAAAUAUUGAGAAGGGCUGGGGAUGUGGCUCAGGGUUUGGUUUGUUACCAAAACGAAACAACAACACACAAAAAAUAAACAUGGAUCUUCAACAGUUCAGUCCUGCAUGUCUCAACGUGUUGGCGGAGCUGUGCGCCCCCCAGAGGUUUGGAGGAGAAGGCGCUUCCUGGCCAUUCCCAGGGCCUGGAGGCCACAGGUCCCUGGCUGGGGCCCCUCCUCCAGCGGAGCCAGCAGUGGAGGCUGCCUUCUGCUUACAUCCGCUGACCUUGCAAAUGUCCCCUCCUCUCCUGCCCCCUCUCCCCUCAGACAGCCCAAUAAAACCUCGAGCAU
rnacentral:lncRNA from 1 species